rnacentral:rRNA from 1 species
AGUGAACGCUGGCGGUAGGCCUAACACAUGCAAGUCGAACGGCAGCACAGUAAGAGCUUGCUCUUACGGGUGGCGAGUGGCGGACGGGUGAGGAAUACAUCGGAAUCUACUUUUUCGUGGGGGAUAACGUAGGGAAACUUACGCUAAUACCGCAUACGACCUACGGGUGAAAGCAGGGGAUCUUCGGACCUUGCGCGAUUGAAUGAGCCGAUGUCGGAUUAGCUAGUUGGCGGGGUAAAGGCCCACCAAGGCGACGAUCCGUAGCUGGUCUGAGAGGAUGAUCAGCCACACUGGAACUGAGACACGGUCCAGACUCCUACGGGAGGCAGCAGUGGGGAAUAUUGGACAAAGGGCGCAAGCCUGAUCCAGCCAUACCGCGUGGGUGAAGAAGGCCUUCGGGUUGUAAAGCCCUUUUGUUGGGAAAGAGAAGCAGCAGGUUAAUACCCCGCUGUUCUGACGGUACCCAAAGAAUAAGCACCGGCUAACUUCGUG